CCUACGGGCGGCAGCAGUGGGGAAUAUUGGACAAUGGGGGCAACCCUGAUCCAGCCAUGCCGCGUGUGUGAAGAAGGCCCUCGGGUUGUAAAGCACUUUCAGUGAGGAAGAACGCCUGGUGGUUAAUACCCAUCAGGAAAGACAUCACUCACAGAAGAAGCACCGACUAACUCCGUGCCAGCAGCCGCGGUAAUACGGAGGGUGCGAGCGUUAAUCGGAAUUACUGGGCGUAAAGCGCGCGUAGGUGGCUUGAUAAGCCGGUUGUGAAAGCCCCGGGCUCAACCUGGGAACGGCAUCCGGAACUGUCAAGCUAGAGUGCAGGAGAGGAAGGUAGAAUUCCCGGUGUAGCGGUGAAAUGCGUAGAGAUCGGGAGGAAUACCAGUGGCGAAGGCGGCCUUCUGGACUGACACUGACACUGAGGUGCGAAAGCGUGGGUAGCAAACAGGAUUAGAUACCCUUGUAGUC
rnacentral:rRNA from 1 species